UUGUGAGGUUAAGCGACUAAGCGUACACGGUGGAUGCCCUGGCAGUCAGAGGCGAUGAAGGACGUGCUAAUCUGCGAUAAGCGUCGGUGAGGUGAUAUGAACCGUUAUAACCGGCGAUUUCCGAAUGGGGAAACCCAGUGUGUUUCGACACACUAUCAUUAACUGAAUCCAUAGGUUAAUGAGGCGAACCGGGGGAACUGAAACAUCUAAGUACCCCGAGGAAAAGAAAUCAACCGAGAUUCCCCCAGUAGCGGCGAGCGAACGGGGAGGAGCCCAGAGCCUGAAUCAGUGUGUGUGUUAGUGGAAGCGUCUGGAAAGGCGCGCGAUACAGGGUGACAGCCCCGUACACAAAAAUGCACAUAUUGUGAGCUCGAUGAGUAGGGCGGGACACGUGGUAUCCUGUCUGAAUAUGGGGGGACCAUCCUCCAAGGCUAAAUACUCCUGACUGACCGAUAGUGAACCAGUACCGUGAGGGAAAGGCGAAAAGAACCCCGGCGAGGGGAGUGAAAAAGAACCUGAAACCGUGUACGUACAAGCAGUGGGAGCCUCUUAAUGGGGUGACUGCGUACCUUUUGUAUAAUGGGUCAGCGACUUAUAUUCUGUAGCAAGGUUAACCGAAUAGGGGAGCCGAAGGGAAACCGAGUCUUAACUGGGCGUUAAGUUGCAGGGUAUAGACCC
rnacentral:rRNA from 1 species